GACGAACCGUGCAAACGUUGUUCGGAAUCACUGGGCUUAAAGGGCGCGUAGGCGGGCCAGCCAGUCUGUGGUGAAAGCCUCCAGCUUAACUGGAGAAGUGCCGUGGAUACUGCUGGCCUCGAGGAGGAUAGGGGCAUCUGGAACGGUCGGUGGAGCGGUGAAAUGCGUUGAUAUCGACCGGAACUCCGGUGGCGAAGGCGACGCACUGGACCUCUUCUGACGCUGAGGCGCGAAAGCUAGGGGAGCAAACGGG
rnacentral:rRNA from 1 species